CGGAUUUGGUGAAGUGGUUAACACAUUGGAUUGUGGUUCCAACAUGCGUGGGUUCGAUUCCCACAAUC
rnacentral:tRNA from 2 species